rnacentral:rRNA from 1 species
UACGUAGGGUGCAAGCGUUAAGUCGGAAUUACUGGGCCGUAAAGCGUGCGCAGGCGGUGAUGUAAGACAGUUGUGAAAUCCCCGGACUCAACCUGGGAACCUGCAUCUGUGACUGCAUCGCUGGAGUGCGGCAGAGGGGGAUGGAAUUCCGCGUGUAGCAGUGAAAUGCGUAGAGAUGUGGAGGAACACCAAUGGCGAAGGCAGCCUUCUGGGCCAACA